UAAUACGAAGGGACCUAGCGUAGUUCGGAAUUACUGGGCUUAAAGAGUUCGUAGGUGGUUAAAAAAGUUGGUGGUGAAAUCCCAGAGCUUAACUCUGGAACUGCCAUCAAAACUUUUUAGCUAGAGUAUGAUAGAGGAAAGCAGAAUUUCUAGUGUAGAGGUGAAAUUCGUAGAUAUUAGAAAGAAUACCAAUUGCGAAGGCAGCUUUCUGGAUCAUUACUGACACUGAGGAACGAAAGCAUGGGUAGCGAAGAGGAUUAGAUACCCUCGUAGUCCAUGCCGUAAACGAUGUGUGUUAGAUGUUGGAAAUUUAUUUUCAGUACCGCAGCGAAAGCAAUAAACACACCGCCUGGGGAGUACGACCGCAAGGUUA
rnacentral:rRNA from 1 species